GUGCUCAUUUCAGCAACACAAAUAUUAAAAUUGCAAUGAUUCAUAGAAGAUUAGCAGUGCCCCAUGCCCACAGAUGAUACGCAAAUUUGUGAAGCAUUCCAUUUAAUA
ensembl:snRNA U6 U6 spliceosomal RNA